GUCCACGCUGUAAACGAUGAAUGCUAGGUGUCGGCGGGAGACCGUCGGUGCCGCAGUUAACACAUUAAGCAUUCCACCUGGGGAGUACGAUCGCAAGAUUGAAACUCAAAGGAAUUGACGGGGCCCGCACAAGCGGUGGAGUAUGUGGUUUAAUUCGAAGCAACGCGAAGAACCUUACCAAGACUUGACAUCCCUUUGAAUACAGAGUAACUUCUGUAGGCCUUCGGGACAAAGGUGACAGGUGGUGCAUGGUUGUCGU
rnacentral:rRNA from 1 species